UACAUAUGUAUUACGCGUUUGUAUUGAAGACGGUGUCCGAGCUAGAUGAGGACCCAUGCCCUUACCAGCUGGACCACGUUAGGACUGGAGCGCUGGGGACCAAAGGACGUAGCACAUCAGAGCGGUUAAAACACAGAGCGGAGCCAGACUGCCAAGGUCCAUUCCAUCUUACCAACUAGGAUCCUAACGGGGAAGGCCUGCCUCUGUGGCCCGCCUAUGGUCAGACCGAGGAAUGCGUGCAGCUGAAUUUGAACUUGAGCGCGGGACAGAGACAGAAAGAGCUAGAGCUGGAGUUCUGGACGGGCACCCUCCCCCUGAUCAGGACGCAGAAGGUGAUCAGCAUGCAAGAAACUAGCCGAGCUCAGUCCCAACCCUGUCCUGCCCACCCACCCACUAUGGAUCACCUCUCAAAUAAACCCCUUGCCUUUGGAUCCUCUUCUGGGAGUCUUUUUCUGAUGGAAACCAAAAUAGGUGAGUGCCUUCC